rnacentral:rRNA from 1 species
AACGUAGGGGACGAGCGUUAUCCGGAUUUACUGGGCGUAAAGCGCAUGUAGGUGGCGCUGAAAGUUGGACGUGAAAGCUCCCGGCUUAACUGGGAGAGGUCGUUCAAAACUACAGUGCUUGAGGUUGGAAGAGGAGAGCGGAAUUCCCGGUGUAGUGGUGGAAUGCGUAGAUAUCGGGAGGAACACCAGUGGCGAAAGCGGCUCUCUGGUUCACACCUGACACUGAGAUGCGAAAGCGUGGGGAGCGAACGGG